CUUACUGAUUCUCUUUCUACAGAGAACUCUAAGACAGGGAGUGUAACACAAGAGAUGCCCAAGAGGGACGGAGCUAAAAUGUUCAUUAGUCAGUAAAAGGCAGGGAAACUAGAAUACUAGAAAUGGUGCAACCAGAAUGGAAUGAAUGAGAAUAACGACACAUUGUGAAAAAUGUAACCAAUAUUACUAAAUAAUUUGUGUAGAAAUAGUUAAAUGGGAACCUAAUUUGCUAUGUAAACUCUCACCUUAAAUGCAAUAAAAUAUAUAUUUUUAAAUGCUCUUUAGGCAGAGAGCUCACAGACUCUUUACGUGCCUGGACCACACAUAUCCGUGAGCAUCUCUCUGUUAUUCCUGGAGAGAUGGCUCACCCAACCCUAUUCUCUUCAUUUUAGGAUGAGCUCUCCCUUCGUCACUUCUCUACCCUCGCUAACAUCCAACUCUCACCCUGAGUCUCAUUGUUGCAGUUCAGAGAAUUGGCAUGGUCUGGACUCAGGGAGACUGUGCACAGGCUGGUUCUGAGAAGGCUUCAACUCAAACUCAUCAUUGACUCUCAUUCUCCAACCUGGGUCUCCGGAGGAAAUGGAUAAUAAAUAAGGCUCUAGAAAGAAGAGUGCAUUGGAAAGGUCAAUGGCUGUCAAGUUACCUGCACCUGGAUUUGGACCCCAAAUCAUGUCUCACUAGUUUGCUGACCUUGGACUUUAUUCACAAAAAUAGAAGAUUCACCUCUGAUCUACCACCUUGUCCUUGAGAAUGGCUGACAUUAGCUGGAGUGCCUUCAUCUCAUUACUGUGUUGGGGAUUGGAGUUCAAGGCACCUCAGAGGAAAGCUGUGGUGAUUCCGUUCUGAAAAGCUGGUCACUGAAAACCCUAUGGAGCGCAGUCCUACUCUGACACACAAAGGGUCCUCAGGAGUCAGAGGUGACUCCACAGA